UCGUCGAUGGCGGGGCGACACAGGUCGGCAUCGAGUCGACGAUCGUCGCCUGUAUCGGCGAUGCGCCGGUUCUGCUGCGGCCCGGCGGCC
rnacentral:tRNA from 1 species